rnacentral:lncRNA from 1 species
ACCGAGGCAGGAUAUGGGUGUUUUAAGGGCUUCAAGCUGGUUAAAACAACAGAAAAGGAAAAAAGAAAAGCAAGACAUUUUUCAGAUGGAGGCCCCCAAGAUCUUUUGUGAGUGAAUCAGCCUCAUUACUGCCAAGCUGGAUGCCAGGACUUGGGCAGGUGAGAGAAGCCACAAGCCCAACACACUGCCCUUAAAAAAUACAUCCCAG